rnacentral:rRNA from 1 species
GAUGAACGCUGGCGGCGUGCCUAAUACAUGCAAGUCGAGCGAACAGACGAGGAGCUUGCUCCUCUGACGUUAGCGGCGGACGGGUGAGUAACACGUGGAUAACCUACCUAUAAGACUGGGAUAACUUCGGGAAACCGGAGCUAAUACCGGAUAAUAUAUUGAACCGCAUGGUUCAAUAGUGAAAGACGGUUUUGCUGUCACUUAUAGAUGGAUCCGCGCCGCAUUAGCUAGUUGGUAAGGGAACGGCUUACCAAGGCAGCGCUGCGUAGGCGACGUGAGAGAGGGGGCGGCAGAACGUGGACGGAGACACGGGCCAGGCGCCACGGGGAGGACGCAGACGGGAAGCUGCCGUAGGGGGGAAAGCCCAAAGGGAGCAAGCCCGAGGGAGGGACGACGCGUUGGGGAUGACAAACUUCGGUUUUUAGGCAAAAAAAAGGGUUGACGAAGCCUCGCUUGUGGUGACGGUACUGAAAGAAAAAGCCCCGGCUAACUACGUG